UUUUAUUUGCAGAUUAACUUGGAAUAUUAGUCAGCAACAGAAUAAAUUUGGAACAUCUGCCAAGUGGAGUCACAUCUCUAUUUCCUCCUCCCUAUGUCCUGACCAACACUCUGUCUUGUUUCCUGUUAAACUCCUACCACAAAUAAGUGAUACAGUCCUACAUCCUCAGAGUCCUCCCUAACAUCUAAAACUGUUAUGGUGCCUGUCAGUCUCCUCCCCCUCCCCCUACUGCUCUGCUCCUGACUCCACCAGCUGGGACCAAUUCACCUCAUCACCUGCUCUGCUCUCAAGGAGAUCCAGACCCAUUAGCCAACGCCAGUUCGUUACCCUCUAUGGAUUCCAGCCUCCAAGAGUCCCCAGUGUGGAUGUCAGCUCGAGUUCUCCAGCAGUCUGGUGGAACCCUCAAGCUUUGCCAAGCCGCACUUUUACCUCCAGCCAGUGGCGGUUUUUGAUAUGGGCGAUGUGGGCGGUCGCCCAGGGCGGCACUUCAUAGGGGGCGGCACUUGCCGUGCCCGAUGCGUUUGCAUUACAAUGUACUACUAUAUUCAAACAGGCGACUUUGCGCUUUUAAUUUGAAAUUGCUUCAACUGCCGACACACUUUACACUUUAACUUAGACACAUCAGACUCUUAAAAAUGUCUUGAUCCUGUUUCCUCUUCACACUUAUGGUGCAAAAAAAAAAAAAAAAAAGA